AUGAAGUAUCUUGCUCACCUUCAGGAUUCAGUUGCAAGGUACAACACCCAAAGAACAGCAGGCAGCGACCCGACACCAACCUCGAAGAGGACGAGAGGUGGUGACGAACUGCAGCAGCGAGGAGAUGGAGCACCGUCGGUGGAUGUCCCCGUCACUGGCAGUGGAGCGACGAAAGAGGGUCGGGCUUGGAGGCGCGACGCAAGGGGCACGGUGGUCGCGGAUGGUGGUCGGCUCGUCGUCACCGGUCAGGGCAGCAGCUCGGGGCGCCGGUCCUCGUCGCUCAUCGGUCAGAGGCGCGCGGCGCUCCUCGGUCACGGCUGA
rnacentral:rRNA from 1 species